UUUGUUUUUUAGAUAUGUCUCCAGAUAUUCAAAACCAGCUUUUACUGUAAGGAUGUAGAAAAUGUGCAAAUUACAUUAGGGAUUCACCAUCGCUGCCAUGUUGGACAUGAUUUGUACCACUACAUGGCAGCAAAGAUCAUCUCUUCUCCAACCUCCAUUUAUUAAAAAAAAGAUAAUCACACUGAUUAAUUGGUUUGAUUAAAUAAACACAGAAAGACUUCAUUGAAAAAUAUAAAUGAAGCACUAGUGUUACGCUUUAAAGGCAUUUUGAAAAACCAAAACUGAAUUCACAUUGUGGAAUCAGAUUCCUUUUACCUUCUGACAAAUCUAUGAAUAUCUGAAGGCAUCAUCGUAGAUGCUUUUUAUACAAUAAGAAUGAGCGCUGACCCUGUUUUCUGAGAUUCUGGAGCUCUUCAGAGGUUUGUGGUCUGUAAUGCUGCAGUUCCUCUGCGAGCGAGUGGUGGCAGCGUUUCAUCUGCUAUUCUAGUGUGCUCAAUCCUGCUCCCAACACACCUGGCUGUAAUUUCAAAUUCAAGCUGAAGGCCUUGAUCAUCUGGUAUAGGGGAUUUUGUUUACAGCUUCAACUAAAUUUUACAGGACGGGAUUGAGCAGACCUGAGCUACAGUAAUGUUCCAGCUACUGUGGCUGCUCUGGAGUCUGAAUCCGCAGGACGUGGCCUCAUCACUACAACCGGUUCUUUGGGCGAACUCAACAUCUCAUCCAACUUCUCUAGAGGCUGGCUGACUGACCUUUGACCCUCUCUCCUCGGUUGAGUGUGAUCUCACCCUCGCCCUGUGGAGUGUGGGAG